UAAGGAAUAUUGGUCAAUGGACGCAAGUCUGAACCUGCCAUGCCGCGUGGAGGAUGAAGGUCCUCUGGAUUGUAAACUUCUUUUAUCUGGGACGAAACACUUCUUUUCUAAGAGGCCUGACGGUACCAGAUGAAUAAGCACCGGCUAACUCCGUGCCAGCAGCCGCGGUAAUACGGAGGGUGCAAGCGUUAUCCGGAUUCACUGGGUUUAAAGGGUGCGUAGGUGGGUAUGUAAGUCAGUGGUGAAAUCCCCGAGCUUAACUUGGGAACUGCCAUUGAUACUAUAUAUCUUGAAUACCGUAGAGGUAAGCGGAAUAUGUCAUGUAGCGGUGAAAUGCUUAGAUAUAACAUGGAACACCAAUUGCGAAGGCAGCUUACUAUGCGGUGAUUGACACUGAGGCACGAAAGCGUGGGUAGCAAACA
rnacentral:rRNA from 1 species